AAAAAAAUAUUAGUACUGCAUGAGCCUUCAAAGAUCGAGAUUACCAGAGAGAAAUUAGGGUGCUUGAGGCCUCGUGGUUGGUUAAACGAUGAGGUCAUCAAUUUGUACCUAGAAUUGUUAAAGGAGAGGGCAAAAAGAGAACCCACAAGAUUUUUAAAAUGCCACUUCUUUAACACAUUCUUCUAUAAGAAGCUAUGAAGGCAACAUGGACCUCCAAAUGGGGAAGCAAGAGAAGC